rnacentral:rRNA from 1 species
GAUGAACGCUGGCGGCGUGCUUAACACAUGCAAGUUGAACGAAGUGGCGGAUGGGCGAGUAACACGGGAGGAACCUGCCUUUCACAGGGGAAUAACACUGGGAAACCAGUGCUAAUACCGCAUAGUGAAAGAUGGCCUCGCGCCGGAUUAGCGAGUAGGUGAGGUAACGGCUCACCUAGGUGAUGAUCAGUAGCCGGACUGAAGGUUGAUCGGCCGCAUUGGGACGGAGACACGGCCCAGACUCCUACGGGAGGCAGCAGUGGGGAAUAUGGGGCAAUGUCGCAAGCCUGACCCAUCAACGCCGCGUGGGGGAUGAAGGCUUUCGGGUUGUAAACCUCUUUCGCGAUCGGGUAGGUGGAGAAUAAGCGCCGGCUAACUACGUGCCAGCAGCCGCGGUAAUUC